rnacentral:tRNA from 1 species
UGGUUUAUAGCUCAGUUGGUAGAGUGCUUGCCUUGCAUGCACAAGGCCCUGGGUUCAAUCCCCAGCACCAA